rnacentral:rRNA from 1 species
UACGUAGGGACCGAGCGUUGUCCGGAAUCAUUGGGCGUAAAGAGCGUGUAGGCGGCCCCUUAAGUCCUGCGUGAAAUCCUGCGGCUCAACCGCAGACGGUCGUGGGAAACUGGAGGGCUAGAGUGCGGGAGAGGAGAGUGGAAUUCCCGGUGUAGCGGUGAAAUGCGCAGAUAUCGGGAAGAACACCCGUGGCGAAGGCGGCUCUCUGGAACGCAACUGACGCUGAGACGCGAAAGCGUGGGUAGCAAACAGG